rnacentral:lncRNA from 1 species
GGAGUCUGUCAUCGAGGAGAUCAUCCGUGAGGUUGAAGACGAUGUUGGUGAUGAAGCUGCCUUCCUGCAGUCUGUCUCUCAAUCCAUGGAUCGCCGUCUGGGUGAAUUAUCCAAGAAAAAAAAAAGUAAUGUAAGUAUACAAGAUUAACUGGUUGCCUCCCUCUACUCAUAUCAUAGAUAAAUAACGUCAAUAAAAAGGGCCAAGCUAAACUAAUUAAAAGGGACAGAGGAAAAGGUUGUACUAGUGUACUUGAGUUAUAAACUUUUUGUGCAGCUGACAAUUGAGUGUACAUGUAAUCAGCAGUGGAUUUAAAGGCCUUGAGGGCGUGUACCCUUUUUUUUCUUUCAUGUGGUUUAAUUAUGUGGAAAAUUUGACUACAUGCAUCACCUAUUUUCCACAAACAUCAUGAUCAAACUUAAUAUAACUCUGAAUUCUCGCUUAAUUUACGCAUGGUCAAACUUACAUGUAACUGCAAAGAAACAAAAAUAACAAAAAUCAAUACAUGUCGCGUGACCGCGCAUUUCGCUAUCUGUUUUGCUUUUCUUAUUUUCUCUCCAUGUGUAGAUAGAAUAUGAUCUCGGUGUUUGUGCUGUCAUAAUUAGGGUUAAACUUUUCGGUUUAGCUAAUUUGAUUGGUCCUCACCGAAAUGCCGAAAUUUCUGAAAUUUCGGAUAUUACCAAAAUUCACAAAAAAAUUUAAAAAUUUAGGCUGAAAUAAUAUCGUAUCGGAGGGGUCUGAAAUGACCGAAAUUUUAGAAAUUUUGUUCCGGAAUUUCCAACCCUGGUCAUAAUAUGUAUAUGAUACCGAGUAUAAUCUAUCUUGUCAUGUUUUUUUUUUCAGAUUUUCUCGUAACUAUUUUGAUCAUCUACAAGAAACAGCACACUCCAUUAACAGUACAAAACAUUUUCCCUAUAGAGCAUCUUUACUAUCUUUGAAAAGGUACCAUGAGGUAGCAAUAUAAUCUAACCGUUGGUUUAGAAAUGGGUAUGAUCGGGCUAAAGAAAUUACCGUCGUUGCAUCAAGGCUGUCGUGGCUGCCGUCGCAUCGAGGCCGCCGCCGCCGCGCCCGCCGUCGCAUCGAGUUUGCUGUUCACAUGUGUUGCUUUUGGAAGCACGUGUGUUGCUGUCCGUCCUCUCCAGUUGCUGUCCAUAAAAAACCUUCCAUCGCGACCUCGCUCGUUGUUCGAUGUUUGCUGUGGCCUCAACGAAGACGAAGAUGACGCCGCCUGCCUGACGAGGAGUUCCUGGUUGUCUUUGCGACCAGCAGCUGGGGCCUAUGUGGCGGUGGCUCCCGUGGUGCUAGCAGCUGCACGGGGCGCGCUGGUGGCUAGCCGACGCGCCACGACGACGCUAGUGGUGAGCGGCCGAUGCCGAUGCCGCCGCCCAGGUGUGACCGCUAGGGGAGAGGAGAAGAAAGAGUAUGCGAAAAGAC